rnacentral:rRNA from 1 species
UACAUGUGGGGCAAGCGUUGUUCGGAAUUACUGGGCAUAAAGGGCGCGUAGGCGGCCUGGCAAGUGGAAGGUGAAAUCCCUCGGCUUAACCGAGGAACUGCCCUCCAAACUGCUUGGCUUGAGACCGGGAGAGGUGAGUGGAAUUCCCAGUGUAGCGGUGAAAUGCGUAGAUAUCAGGAGGAACACCGGUGGCGAAGGCGGGUCUCUGGGCAACAACUGACGCUGAGGAGCGAAAGCGUGGGGAGCGAACAGG